rnacentral:tRNA from 1 species
GCCCACUGGUGCAGUGGUGACCCUGACUGCUAAGCCAAAGGUCCCGGGUUCGAUUCCCGGCUGGGGCA